CGCGCACAGUCCCUCCACGCGGAAAGAAGUACCUUCGCCGGUCACCGGCUCCUGCAGGGUGCAAAUAUAUACAGAGCUUCAUAAUCAGCCCAAGACCACAUAGAGCAAACAUGAAUGAUAUUUCCCAAAAGGCUGAGAUUCUGCUUUCUUCAUCUAAACCUGUCCCAAAAACCUAUGUACCAAAACUUGGCAAGGGUGAUGUAAAGGAUAAGUUUGAAGCCAUGCAGAGAGCCAGGGAAGAAAGAAAUCAAAGGAGAUCUAGAGACGAAAAACAAAGAAGAAAAGAACAAUAUAUUAGAGAGAGAGAAUGGAACAGGAGAAAGCAGGAGAUUAAAGAAAUGCUUGCUUCUGAUGAUGAGGAAGAUGUAUCUUCUAAAGUAGAAAAGGCUUAUGUUCCAAAAUUAACAGGAACUGUGAAGGGUAGAUUUGCUGAAAUGGAGAAACAAAGACAAGAGGAACAAAGGAAGAGAACGGAGGAGGAACGAAAACGCAGAAUUGAGCAGGAUAUGUUAGAAAAGAGGAAAAUACAGCGUGAAUUAGCAAAAAGGGCUGAACAGGAGAUGAUUCACUACUUAUAACUGUGGUACCUGUCAAAUCAUAUAAAACAUCUGGAAAAAUGAAAAAGAAUUUUGAGGAUCUAGAAAAAGAACGUGAAGAGAAAGAAAGGAUCAAGUACGAGGAAGAUAAAAGAAUAAGAUAUGAAGAACAACGACCAUCUCUCAAGGAAGCAAAGUGUCUUUCAUUAGUUAUGGAUGAUGAAAUAGAAAGUGAAGCAAAAAAAGAAUCACUUUCUCCCGGAAAAUUGAAACUAACUUUUGAAGAACUGGAGCGACAAAGACAAGAAAAC
rnacentral:lncRNA from 1 species